rnacentral:rRNA from 1 species
GACGAACGCUGGCGGCGUGCUUAACACAUGCAAGUCGAACGGAGUGGCGAACGGGUGAGUAACACGUGGGUGAUCUGACUUGCACUUCGGGAUAAGCUUGGGAAACUGGGUCUAAUACCGGAUAGUGCAAGAUGAGCUCGCGGCCUAUCAGCUUGUUGGUGGGGUAAUGGCCUACCAAGGCGUCGACGGGUAGACGGCCUGAGAGGGUGUACGGCCACAGUGGGACUGAGGUACGGCCCAGACGCCUACGGGAGGCAGCAGUGGAGAAUAUUGCACAAUGGGCGGAAGCCUGGUGCAGCGACGCCGCGUGGGGGAUGAAGGUCUUCGGAUUAGAAACUCCUUACGACAGGGACGCGGUACCUGUAUAAGAAGCACCGGCUAACUACGUGCCAGCAGCCGCGGUAAUUC